UGUUGUCCUCUCCUCCUGGGAGACUGGCGACAAUUGCGGCCAGCGGGUUGUUUAGUUGACCUGUGAGCCACAGCUUCGGGUCAUGGAGGGGGACGGCCCCGCCGCCACGGCCCCGCAGUACCAGCCGGUCUGUCCUACGCGGGACGCAUGUGUCUACAACAGCUGCUAUUGUGAGGAAAACAUUUGGAAGCUCUGUGAGUACAUCAAGACACACAACCAGUAUCUGUUGGAGGAGUGCUAUGCAGUCUUCAUAUCAAAUGAGAAGAAGAUGGUAAGUUGGUACCUAUUUGGAAACAGCAGGCAAGACCUGAGAAUGGACCUGUGAUCUGGACUCCAAAAUGAACCUGAACGACUUCAUCAGCAUGGACCCUGCAGUAGGAUGGGGAGCUGUCUACACGCUGCCUGAGUUUGUGCAUCGGUUCAGCAGCAAAACCUACCAAGCCUGACAUCCGGGCUGCAGCUAGAGAAGCUCUAGGGUCUGAGUAAGCCAUCCUUCCAUUUAAGAGAGAGCGUGGUACAGGUGGCCUAUAGGGAUAUUGUUCUCACUAAAUGUGAGUGGAAACAUUAGUGAACACAGAUGAAAAUGAAUGACUAAGUCCCCCACCCCCUUUUUUUAGGCUGGGGAUCUAUCCCAGAGUUCUAUCUCCAACCCUAAACAGUCAGACCCCAGCCUCAGACAUAGAUAUGCCACAUUCGGUAUAUGGUUGCUAAAAUGUUUCCAUGGCUUGCUUACUUCGGUGUGUGAUGACGUAGGCCAGCAAUUGCUUUUGUAAAACUAGAGGUGUGGACCUGGAGUCGGCUCCUUUUGUCUGCUUCCUCUGCUUCCUGUCUGGCUAGACUCUAAACUCCUUGAGCACAGGUUUGUGGCCUGUGGCUCUAAGACUCUGUUGCCCAUUAGAGGUCCCGGUAAAAUGUUUCUAGAGUCAGCACUGCUGCUUGGUAAGGGACAGUAUUGUGAGCUGAAUCAGCUGUAAGUAUUAGUCUUUUUGGACUACGAUGUUUAAAAAAGUUGCAGAUAUCUUGUCUGAGUGCUAUUUGACCCACUUAUAUAUGUAGUUUUAAAUAAAAUUGACUUAAAAUUAAUUUUGCUUUUG
rnacentral:lncRNA from 1 species